rnacentral:rRNA from 1 species
UACGGAGGUGGCAAGCGUUACUCGGAAUUACUGGGUGUAAAGGGCAAGUAGGCGGUCUAAUAAGCGAGGGGUGAAAUCUUCCGACUUAAUCGGAAAACUGCCUUUCGAACUGUUAGACUUGAGGCAGGCAGAGGGAAAUGGAAUUCCCGGUGUAAGGGUGAAAUCUGUAGAUAUCGGGAAGAACACCAACGGCGAAGGCAAUUUCCUGGGCCUGUCCUGACGCUAAAUUGCGAAAGCUAGGGGAGCAAACAGAAUUAGAUACUCUGGUAGUCCUAGCCGUAAACGAUGAGUACUAGGUGUCGGAUCGCAAGAUUCGGUGCCGCAGCUAACGCAUUAAGUACUCCACCUGGGGACUACGGUCGCAAGGCUAAA